rnacentral:misc_RNA from 1 species
AACGCAUAUUGCGCUCUCUGGUAUUCCGGAGAGCAUGCUUGUUUGAGUAUCAGUAAACACCCUCAAAGCCUCUUUUUUUUUUUUUAAAAAAAAAAGACAGGUUUUGGAUUUGAGUGAUUCCAACGCCGAUUCCCUUCAAGGAUUUAGUGGCGGACCACUUGAAAUGCAGGUGCAGCUGGACAUUCUUCUGAGCUAAAAGCAUAUUUAUUUAGUCCUGUCAAUACUUUUUUGUGUUGCGGAUUAUUACUUCUGCUGCAGCUAACAUAAAGGUUGAAAGUCCAAAUGCUGACUGAUGCAGAAAUUUUUCAGUGAAGCGUAAGCUUUCUGUUAAACUCGAUCUCAAAUCAAGUAAGACUACCCGCUGAACUUAA